GCCUGGCUGGCUUAGUCAGCAGAGCACAGGACUCUGAAUCUCAGGCUUGUGAGUUCAAACCCCACGUCGGGCA
rnacentral:tRNA from 1 species